rnacentral:rRNA from 1 species
AUUGAACGCUGGCGGCAGGCCUAACACAUGCAAGUCGAGCGGCAGCGGAAAGUAGCUUGCUACUUUGCCGGCGAGCGGCGCACGGGUGAGUAAUGUCUGGGAAACUGCCCGAUGGAGGGGGAUAACUACUGAAAACGGUAGCUAAUACCGCAUAACGUCGCAAGACCAAAGAGGGGGACCUUCGGGCCUCUUGCCAUCGGAUGUGCCCAGAUGGGAUUAGCUAGUAGGUGGGGUAACGGCUCACCUAGGCGACGAUCCCUAGCUGGUCUGAGGGGAUGACCAGCCACACUGGAACAGAGACACGGUCCAGACUCCUACGGGAGGCAGCAGUGGGGAAUAUUGCACAAUGGGCGCAAGCCUGAUGCAGCCAUGCCGCGUGUAUGAAGAAGGCCUUCGGGUUGUAAAGUACUUUCAGCGGGGAGGAAGGUGUUGAGGUUAAUAACCUCAGCAAUUGACGUUACCCGCAGAAGAAGCACCGGCUAACUCCGUGCCAGCCGCCGCAGUAA